AGGAUGAACGCUAGCGACAGGCCUAACACAUGCAAGUCGAGGGGCAGCACAAGGAGCAAUCUGAGGUGGCGACCGGCGCACGGGUGAGUAACACGUAUGCAACCUGCCUGUAAGCGGGGAAUAACCCGUUGAAAGACGGACUAAUACCGCAUAAUACUAAAUUACUGCAUGGUAAUUUAUUUAAACAUUUAUGGCUUACAGAUGGGCAUGCGCAUGAUUAGCUAGUUGGAGAGGUAACGGCUCCCCAAGGCAACGAUCAUUAGGGGUUCUGAGAGGAAGGUCCCCCACACUGGUACUGAGACACGGACCAGACUCCUACGGGAGGCAGCAGUGAGGAAUAUUGGUCAAUGGACGAGAGUCUGAACCAGCCAAGUCGCGUGCAGGAAGAAUGUCCCUAUGGAUUGUAAACUGCUUUUGCAGGGGAAUAAAGUGCAUCACGUGUGAUGUUUUGUAUGUACUCUGCGAAUAAGGAUCGGCUAACUCCGUGCCAGCCGCUGC
rnacentral:rRNA from 1 species